CUAGCUCUCAAACACAGCCCAGCUACAUAUGCCCACGGCACCAAGCCGUGCUCACCGUUGGCGACGAUGUAGUCGACCUGGGCGGCGAUCUGCUCGUCGGUCAGAGGAGGCAGGUAGGAGAAGGUCUCGAACAUCCUGCGAUCACGCGAUUGACCAGUACUCGUUAGAAGUGGCAGAGCACGUGCGAUGUGAGGCAGCAGGCUGGGCCCCAAGCAAUUGCGUCGCGACUUGCAGAAUCCCUAUCCUUCGGGCUGCGCUUGCUCGUCGACUCACUUGUUGUUGACCGGGGUCCAGACCAUCAUCUGGUUGGCCUGAGCCGGGGCAGCCACGGGGGCAGCCUUGACGGCGGGCUUCAGCGCGGCCAUGGGGCGCACGCUGGAGCGGGCCGGGCGAGCCACGGCCGCGGAGACGGAGGACUUGGCAAUGACGGCGGCCAUUUUAGAUGUUUGAGAAAGUGGUCGAAUGAACGAGUAAGUUCUUGGGACAAAGACUCGGAGGUGGCCGGUCGCCGUUUUCAAUCCCCGCUCGCCGAUGACCCGUACGGCAGGCUUAUCCGACUCGUCGGCUUUCACGACCGCCCGAGCCUGCGCGCUUCAUCCGCUUCCGGAUAGCUUGCUACGAUAAUGCAUUAUUCAAUUUUACGACGCAAUGUCAUGAGCAGCGCCGGGCGGGCUUAUUUACAUGCGUCGCCUCGCUCGCCGUUGACUUGAUACUUUGGAAAUUCGGGCUCGAUUCGUUGCUACAGCCUGCCUUUUGCACACAAUGUGAACGUCGAUUCUACAUUUGUAUGUGACUGAACUUCGCGGCCCCUACUGAACGUUUCGUGCAAGCGACAUGUCGACUCACAACUUGGAGGAACGCGCGAGGGGUCCCCACACGCACUUUCAGCCUGCUUUGGCGAAAUGGACAUGAUAGGUAUAGCCAGGAUAUGGGUCUGCUAGCUCGCCUGGUGUUUUGACCGUCGAUCGGUUUCGCGUUGGGCCUUGCGGCUGCUCGCUCGCCGCGGAUGCUUCCGCACACUGCGCGGCACGUGUUAGUCUGUGCACGACGACGGUUUGUUUGUAUUGCGCCGCCAACGUUCAACGGUGGUGGUAGGUUCGAAUGUCAGAAUGUCGGGCACGGGGACCUUGGGCGCAUUGCCUACAAGCGCGUGCCUGUGUUUUUGGGGGGCAGAGAAGUGAGCCUGCCUAUUGGGUCACAAUAGCACAGAGGCGGGUGGCCAGCGUCGGGAACUGGUUCAGAACGGCUGCAGGGACAGCACCGUGCGUGCGUGUGUGUGUGGGGGGAGCCUUCAAAGUUGACGAGCUUCGCAGCGCUGGGAUGGACUGGCAUUGCGUGCUUGAGUUUGCGUCCCGUGAGAACCCUGCAGUUUAUGGCGGAGACAGGGAAGAGGGAAUGGGAUCGCGCCGGUGCAGGGAAAGGGCACGAAUCUGAGGUUACGGUAUCUGGGGGGAGGUGCCCAUGUGGGAGGGGAAGCCUAACUGCCUGUCUGGGUGCAGACCAGGAAUGGCAACACGUGAACGGUUAGUAGAGAGCUGUGUGCUGUUGGGCGCUCUCGGCAAGGGGCGUGGGAGGGGGCUGGGUUGGUGGGCGGCUGUCCGCACAGUGCCUAGCAGUGCGCACUCAGGCCCUUCGCAGACCGAAGAGGGCGCCAGGGCCUAUGCGCGCGUGGCUUGGCGUGAGGUUCUUGCUGUUGGCGUCAGGCGCCGCAAAAGGCCGGGUGGCUCUGCAGUGUCCUGCUCGCUUGGCGUGCGGCAAAGUGGUUCAGUCAGCGAGCGCAGUGUAUGCGUGUGUGCGUGUAUGCGUGUGCGUGCGUGUGUGUGUGUGUGUGUGUGUGUGUGUGUGUGUGUGUGUGGUUGCUGCGGAGAGGGCACGCAGCGACACGAGAUUGCCAUGCAGUGGUGCAAGCUGCUGGGGUCGGGUAAACGGGGUGGGAAAGUUGGUGAUGGUGGAAUGUUCUUGUGGCACGAACUGGCCUUGUGCGUAUUCGUUCGCCCCGUUCACUCUGGUCCACCAAUCCCACAGUCACUGCACUUAAAUGCCUAAAAGCCCCUGCUACGGUGCGGACAGGGUAAGGCCACGGCAGGUCUAAGUCCAUAUGCGCCCGUAGAGGUUCGAGUGCGUUAACCGGUCGCAAGGUGUUCACAACAUGUUGAUGUGUUGACAACAUGGCUGUGGUCAAGACGUGCCCUGCGAACUUCCCGUGUUUACAUGUUAAUAGAGCUCGCUGACAGCAGUCAUUUGACACCAUUAUGGAAGAAAACAGAGGGGAUUUAGGGGGUGUACGGCACGGUAUGGCACGGUCGGUCGUCGGUCCGGGGGGUCGGGGGGUUCUGCAGGGUGGGGCCUGGAACUAUUGUUCGUACACCCCCGCCUGGCUCCCCUGCUCCCCCUGACUAACCCCUGACCUCUGGCUUUCUUCGCUUUCCUUUCAGUGUCACCAAUUCUCAUGAGUGGGGGCGCACCCCGAAAUAAGCGGGUACGGUGCUUCAGUUCAGUGCUUGCCACGGCCUCAAGAGCCCCAAACCACGUGCACCGAAAUUCGCUUGCACUCCAAAUGCACUGGGAAGCCAGUAGCAGCGCGCUCUCAAAUGCUGGCAUGUGUCUCUCUCUGUCCAGAGCCUGAAUGCGCCAAGUCUGCUACGGUAGGAGGGUGCAACCCGUGGCCCGCCUUGAACCGCGCUUGCACACACAGCUGGAUUGCUGCUGGCAUGACCGUGUGAAAGAGGUACAGGCAGCCGGGCAAGUCCCAGCGGGCAGGUUGGUGUAGGCUAUGCCCCAUAACAGGCCCGUGCAUGCUGCCACGGACUUCUCGCCAGGAAUGUAAGUCCCGAUGCUAGACAAUUACUCCAGCAGCUGCAUGCCGCCAUCUUCAGUACUCGGUAUCCCUUGGUGCACGCAAGUCAAGGAUCAGUCCCAGGGCUCACCCUGGAGCAAUGCAGCCUGCGUGUGCACCUGCGAUGGAGCCGCGGCCUGCGGUAUUGGCUGCCCGAUUACGAAGCUGCGGGUGGGGGCAGUUGGCACGCAUUCCGCCACAGACCCCGCGAGCCUAGCCGCACCCAAGCUCUAAGCGGCCUAGACCGUGACCAAAGGCGAAGAAGCCGCGGCCAUCCCUGCGCUCAGAUUGCAUUGGUUACAAGAGGGACCUGCUGACGCAGUUCAUGGCUUCAUGCGCUCAGAGCCCGAGCCCUGAGCGGCAGCAAAAGCAGAAGCCACGCUACGUGUGCUAGCUACGACCAAUGCCUUGUACAGCUCUCCUCGGCUGCGCUCUUCGGCUGCGCUCCUCGGCUGCGCGGGACAGGGGACUCCGUGCAACCACUAUUGCUUAUAGCCUGCACCAGUCAUUGACGAGUGUUGCGGAACUAAUGCGUACGUAGACCAGAGCGGAAGGCGGAGUGGGCUUGCAGGCGGCACGAGAGUAGGCAGUCAGUAGCGCAAGUUGCGAAUUCCCAUGUUACCUCGUAACCGACGGUAAACGCUGUGGACGGUCGCGCCCAUGGCUGGCUGACGGAAGCUGGCUGCGGUAUUGGGAUGGCUGGGCUGGAUGACGCCGGCCGGGCUGGCGUUGGGACUACCAGAAAGGAUGCGCCCGAAACCAACCUGGAGAACACCAGCGCCACCGGUGCCCAGCACGACAUGUAAGGGAGGGAGGGAGGGACAGGAGGCGUGAUGCACUGCAGCGUAGAAGCUGCAGUCAUGGGCACAGCUUGUACCAUACAGCACGGUCAUCAAGGACACAAUGCCGGAACGGCAUCAUACGAGGCGGGGUUGGGAGCUGCAGGAAGUGGGCAGCGGGGCAGAAUCAAAGGUUUGCAUCGUUUAGAACAGGUGCGGAACACGCGCCAGCGCCAGCGCGGAGGACCCCAAGUAAGGCCUUUACUCACCAAUGUACGUUUUGUACACCCAAUCUCGCCCCCUAUCGACGUUGGCACUAGGUAGCUGGCUAUCAUUCUAUGCAGAUUAAGCAAAGGGGCACCGGGAACAACUGACUCAUGUUCGUCACUGCAGGUUACUGCAAAUGCUGUCUCCACCUUUGCUGCACGGUUCCGUUUCGUCACGUUUGCUGGUGUUGCUACCCGCCGUUCUUUAGUGUGUAACUGAUCUGCGAACCGAGUCCCCUUCAGCUGAUGAACCCCGCAGCAACUUUUCCAAAAGCGCUUCAAAUACGCCCAGCCCGCCCAUGGAGAAAGAGGCCAAAAUCAACGGAGGAUCGUUACAACCAACAAAAUUGCAAAACUCCUCCGCUUUUUACGUGUUGAAAAAGACUGAUCAGCACGAAACGGGGAGCUAAGCUACCGCUUCAGCACUUGAGAGCAGUAUCUUCCAUCCACCGCCGUUCGUCAGGGGGCAAGGCUCAGAUCAACGAGCGCCUCCAUUUACACGGAGCGCUUGUUGGCGGGCUGCCAGUCGCGGGCAGACUUGGGGCGCUGGACCAGGAAGCCCAUGAUCUGCACCUGCUUCUGGUUGUCGAAGGCCACCAGGCGCACGUAGGCAUCGGGGAAGGCCUUGGUGCAGGCGACGAUCUCGCGCAGCACCUGCAUGGGGUCGCGGCAGCCGAACAUGGGCAGCUUCCACAUGGUCCAGUAGCGGUUGUCGUAGUACAGCUGCGGGCGCACGGGAAAUGGGAGGGAGAAGAG
rnacentral:lncRNA from 1 species